GGUUCCUUUCUUCCUCUUGAUAGCCAUCAGACAGUAUAUUCUUCCGAAGCUCUUUAACCCGGCCUAUCUCCAAGAACUCGAUGCUGCCGAGUACGAGGAAAUCCCCGGCACUCCUAGAAGAAACCCUCUCGAACUGUCUUUUCGAUCUAAUGACUCUAAGGGAGGCGUACAAGAAGGCGAUGCCGAGAUUUUAGACGAGUUAACGACGAGCAGAGGCGAGCUCAAAGUCCGUACAGUCAGUCUUAACGAAGAGAAAGGCAACCAGAUUUACCCCAAUGAGAAAACAAAAGCAGGGGACGGGGACGUGAAUACUACAAGAGAGUGAGUGAUUUAUCAACAAAAGGAACCAAAAAAAUUCUUUCAAGUGAUGAUCACGAAUUCACGAUCAUACGCAAACUAUGUAGUCUUUGCAGAACACAGAUUAUGUUUUGUAUUUUUUGGUAUUUGAACCCAAAGAUGAUGUAUGUUUUGUUCGAAAUAGUCUUCUUAACAAUGAAAGUCAUAUAAAGCAUAA